rnacentral:hammerhead_ribozyme from 15 species
CCGGCGUCUAAGGUAGGCUCCCACUAGAUUACCUUACUGAUGAGUCCAGUAGUGGAAGCCGGGACGAAACGCCAA